UGUCGUGAGGCAAAAUCUGAAAGAAGCUGUAAGCAAACCUCUGGUCUGACGGACAGAAAUCACAUAUAAGGCUAGGUUCUGAUAGAUAAGCUUGCAAAAUAAAGCAAAAUCUAAUAACUAUCACUUUUGUAGGAACAGAGUAAAUGUGGCAGAUAUAUGGAGGGAAAGAGU
rnacentral:ncRNA from 1 species